AGUGAACGCUGGCGGUAGGCCUAACACAUGCAAGUCGAACGGCAGCACAGUAAGAGCUUGCUCUUACGGGUGGCGAGUGGCGGACGGGUGAGGAAUACAUCGGAAUCUACUUUUUCGUGGGGGAUAACGGAGGGAAACUUACGCUAAUACCGCAUACGACCUACGGGUGAAAGCAGGGGAGCUUCGGACCUUGCGCGAUUGAAUGAGACGAUGUCGGAUUAGCUAGUUGGCGGGGUAAAGGCCCACCAAGGCGACGAUCCGUAGCUGGUCUGAGAGGAUGAUCAGCCACACUGGAACUGAGACACGGUCCAGACUCCUACGGGAGGCAGCAGUGGGGAAUAUUGGACAAUGGGCGCAAGCCUGAUCCAGCCAUACCGCGUGGGUGAAGAAGGCCUUCGGGUUGUAAAGCCCUUUUGUUGGGAAAGAACAGCAGCAGGUUAAUCCCCCGCUGUUCUGACGGUACCCAAAGAAUAAGCACCGGCUAACUUCGUG
rnacentral:rRNA from 1 species